UACGUAGGGUGCAAGCGUUGUCCGGAAUUAUUGGGCGUAAAGAGCUCGUAGGCGGUUUGUCGCGUCGACUGUGAAAACUGGGGGCUUAACUUCUCAGCUUGCAGUUGAUACGGGCAGACUUGAGUUCGGUAGGGGAGACUGGAAUUCCUGGUGUAGCGGUGAAAUGCGCAGAUAUCAGGAGGAACACCGGUGGCGAAGGCGGAUCUCUGGGCCAUUACUGACGCUGAGGAGCGAAAGCGUGGGGAGCGAACAGG
rnacentral:rRNA from 1 species